rnacentral:misc_RNA from 1 species
CUGUGUAUUCCACAAUACAUGAUUUUUGAUAGGUUGAAAUUCUUAUUCUCUGUUCUCUGUUCCUUUUACAGAAUAGAGGCCCAGUAAUCAGGGCCGUUAAUCACCGAAGAAGAAGAAGAUACAAAUUUACUAAAAGGACUGAUAAAAUAAGGUUCUAUGUCAAAGUAUCCAAAUAUAUCGCAAGAAGCGAUAGGAUGCAUUAAUUAUUUCCUCCAACCCGAAACAAGAACUCAUCGUUUUCGUCGUCUAUGCAAUCCUACAGUGAACCAUUUACACAGGAACAAGAAAUGAUACUUUACAAAGGCAUAAAGAUGCAUCUGCAAGAAAUUCAAAUAGUUACUCAAGAUAUUAAUCAGCAAUUCAAAAAUAUUCAAGAAGAAAUGCUUGUCACAGCAGCUUUGAUAAAUGCGAUUGAAUCAAAAAACCAAGGAAAUUAAUUAGGAUUAAUACAUUUGCAAAAAUAAAAAUAUGGCAGUAUAUCUUAGGAAUGUAAAAAG